AAAAUUCAGUAUGUGAUAAAUGUGUUGAAUUAAAAAUCUGGUUAUGGUUUUAACUCCAUUAUACUGUAUAAUUGUUUCAGAGAAGCUGACUUUGGGGAAGCUCUGAGACGCAGUGGAUUCUGGAAGACUCCUAUUCAGGCUUCGUAAAAUAGGUCAGAAACUGUCCCAGACACACGGGAAUGUGGAGGAAUCAUCUUUCAACAAUAAUGUAUUUACCUGUGCAAAAAAUAACAGAUUUAUUUUACCCAUAUGUCAAAUAAAGCAUAUAUUUAAUAA